GACGUAGGGCGCGAGCGUUGUCCGGAUUUAUUGGGCGUAAAGAGCUCGUAGGCGGCUUGUCGCGUCGUCCGUGAAAACCUGCAGCUCAACUGCAGGCUUGCGGUCGAUACGGGCAGGCUGGAGUUCGGUAGGGGAGACUGGAAUUCCUGGUGUAGCGGUGAAAUGCGCAGAUAUCAGGAGGAACACCGGUGGCGAAGGCGGCAUCCUGGACCAACACUGACGCUGAGUGAGCGAAAGCCAGGGGAGCAAACGGG
rnacentral:rRNA from 1 species